ensembl:misc_RNA
GCAGCAGCCUUGGAGAAUGAAGUCCUUUGCUUAUCCACAGAACAGGUACAGUGCAAACUGCCACAGUGCAUGCUUGUGUGUCUCCCCUCUAAACUGGAAGAGUCAGCUACAAGAGUCAGAGAGUCUCCAUUCUUUGUAACCCAUUCACUCUUUGGCCAUU